UUUUGUUUUGAACCCUAGCCUCUGAAAGAGAGAGGCGAUCUGGGUUUGAUUUCUCAUGUGCUUGAUUUCUUGGGUUUUUUGAAGCUCCAAAGAUGAACAAGAAGAUUGAACCCACCCAAGAGCAAGAACAGAGAAACGUUUGAGGAGGACGAUGGCGGCGAGGCGAAGUGAGAUCGGCAGCGAUUCUUACCCCACACUCACAUAUCUGGCUCCAAAUCCAACUCCAACUCCAAGAUCCCUAAAUCUCCAAUCCUCUAUAGACGAUCGAAGAGAAGGACACAGCACCAGGAAACAAGCAAACUAAUCAAGCCGCCGCCGCCGCCACCAUUUUCGAUUGGAUUCUUCACUGCCUCGGAGGAGCAGACUAGUUUGAGCAACCUUGGAAGAGCACAGAUGUUUUUGAGGCUUCAAGGAAUAGCACUAAUCGGAGAAAGAAACCAAGACACAACACCGGUAGGCCAAAAAAAAAAAUGAAGAUACUGCAUUCAAAGGAGAUGAAGUUGACACCUGAGAUCACUUUUUGGGGUGCUUGUAUUUGUAUUGGGUUUCAUGUAGUUUUUAUUUGUACAAAACAACCUUAUAUCUUUCUUUCUUUGUAUUUGUAUGGGGUCUCGUGUACUUGUUUUUAACUUAAAAUUUUAUUUUGUUUCAAUUUGAAAGAUCAAGAAAUUUUAUAUA